GACGAACGCUGGCGGCGUGCUUAACACAUGCAAGUCGAACGGAAAGGCCCUGCUUUUGUGGGGUGCUCGAGUGGCGAACGGGUGAGUAACACGUGAGUAACCUGCCCUUGACUAUGGGAUAACUUCAGGAAACUGGGGCUAAUACCGGAUAGGAGCUCCUGCCGAAUGGUGGGGGUCGGAAAGUUUCGGCGGUUGGGGAUGGACUCGGGGCUUAUCAGUUUGUUGGUGGGGUAGUGGCUUACCAAGGCUUUGACGGGUAGCCGGCCUGAGGGGGUGACCGGCCACAUUGGAACGGAGAUGCGGCCCGGACUCCUACGGGAGGCAGCAGUGGGGAAUAUUGCACAAUGGGCGGAAGCCUAAUGCAGCAACGCCGCGUGCGGGAUGACGGCCUUCGGGUUGUAACCCGCUUUCGCCUGUGACGAAGCGUGAGUGACGGUAAUGGGUAAAGAAGCACCGGCUAACUACGUG
rnacentral:rRNA from 1 species